rnacentral:rRNA from 1 species
GCUGGCAGCGUGCCUAAACAUGCAAGUCGAGCGAACGGACGAGAAGCUUGCUUCUCUGAUGUUAGCGGCGGACGGGUGAGUAACACGUGGAUAACCUACCUAUAAGACUGGGAUAACUUCGGGAAACCGGAGCUAAUACCGGAUAAUAUUUUGAACCGCAUGGUUCAAAAGUGAAAGACGGUCUUGCUGUCACUUAUAGAUGGAUCCGCGCUGCAUUAGCUAGUUGGUAAGGUAACGGCUUACCAAGGCAACGAUGCAUAGCCGACCUGAGAGGGUGAUCGGCCACACUGGAACUGAGACACGGUCCAGACUCCUACGGGAGGCAGCAGUAGGGAAUCUUCCGCAAUGGGCGAAAGCCUGACGGAGCAACGCCGCGUGAGUGAUGAAGGUCUUCGGAUCGUAAAACUCUGUUAUUAGGGAAGAACAUAUGUGUAAGUAACUGUGCACAUCUUGACGGUACCUAAUCAGAAAGCCACGGCUAACUACGUGCCAGCAGCCGCGGUAAUACGUAGGUGGCAAGCGUUAUCCGGAAUUAUUGGGCGUAAAGCGCGCGUAGGCGGUUUUUUAAGUCUGAUGUGAAAGCCCACGGCUCAACCGUGGAGGGUCAUUGGAAACUGGGAAAACUU